AUACGUAGGGUGCGAGCGUUGUCCGGAAUUACUGGGCGUAAAGAGCUCGUAGGUGGUUUGUCGCGUCGUCUGUGAAAUUCCGGGGCUUAACUCCGGGCGUGCAGGCGAUACGGGCAUAACUUGAGUACUGUAGGGGAGACUGGAAUUCCUGGUGUAGCGGUGAAAUGCGCAGAUAUCAGGAGGAACACCGGUGGUGAAGGGGGGUCUCCGGGCAGUAACUGACGCUGAGGAGCGAAAGCAUGGGUAGCGAACAGGAUUAGAUACCCUGGUAGUCCAUGCCGUAAACGGUGGGCGCUAGGUGUAGGGGUCUUCCACGACUUCUGUGCCGUAGCUAACGCAUUAAGCGCCCCGCCUGGGGAGUACGGCCGCAAGGCUAAAACUCAAAGGAAUUGACGGGG
rnacentral:rRNA from 1 species